rnacentral:rRNA from 1 species
GAGCGGAAAAUGCUUAGUACGGCGAGUGAGCGGCAAAGCUCAAAUUUGAAAUCUGGCGCCUUCGGUGUCCGAGUUGUAAUUUGAAGAAGGCUACUUUGGAGUUGGCUCUUGUCUAUGUUCCUUGGAACAGGACGUCACAGAGGGUGAGAAUCCCGUGCGAUGAGAUGCCCAAUUCUUUGUAAAGUGCUUUCGAAGAGUCGAGUUGUUUGGGAAUGCAGCUCUAAGUGGGUGGUAAAUUCCAUCUAAAGCUAAAUAUUUGCGAGAGACCGAUAGCGAACAAGUACAGUGAUGGAAAGAUGAAAAGAACUUUGAAAAGAGAGUGAAAAAGUACGUGAAAUUGUUGAAAGGGAAGGAUUUGAGAUCAGACUUGGUAUUUUGCAACCUUACCCUCGUGGUGGGGCCCCUGCAGUUUACUGGGCCAGCAUCAGUUUGGAUGAUGGGAUAAUGACUAAGGAAUGUGGCUCUGCUUCGGUGGAGUGUUAUAGACUUGGUUGAUACCGUCUAUCUAGACUGAGGACUGCGUCUUUUGACAAGGAUGUUGGCAUAAUGAUCUAAGCUCACCCCCUCUUGAAACACGGACCAAGCG